rnacentral:misc_RNA from 1 species
CUGUGCGGUUCUACCCUCUUGCGGGUAGCGAAGUCGUCCCUCGAUGGAUAUUUGCUUGCCCCGCUGACAUUUUGUUGUCGUUUGGGCAGCCGAAAUGUUGGCAAAAUCCUUGUGUUGGUGCGCGGUUGAAUGCCUCGUUGCUAUCGCUUGGAUUUUUGCCGGCUCUCACGGAUGCGGUGCCUAGUGCUAGCUCUGCGGGACUUUGCCCCGCAGACUUCGGGAGGUCCCGUGUACGAAUCAUUGCUCUUAUACGCCGUCUGUCGUGCUGCCGGUGGCGRCACGCAGAUCGUGUUCUGCCGUGUCGUCGUUGGCGACGCGGCGCGGAACAGUGUGUCCGGAGCGUGAUCGCGUGCACGGGGAAUGCCUCUCCGUCCGUACGAGCAGCGAUUUCCGGUUUUGCGUCGUGCGAAGGCCCGCCCGCCCGGGUUGGCGCCGGAGCUGACGCGCCGGCUCUCGUUUAAGACGUGC